GUGGGUAUAGCUCAGCAGUAGAGUGCGUGCUUAGCAUGCACGAGGUCCUGGCUUCAAUCCCCAGCACUUCCA
rnacentral:tRNA from 1 species